rnacentral:rRNA from 1 species
GCACAGGUAGCAAUACCGGGUGGCGACCGGCGCACGGGUGAGUAACGCGUAUGCAACUUGCCUAUCAGAGGGGGAUAACCCGGCGAAAGUCGGACUAAUACCGCAUGAAGCAGGGGCCCCGCAUGGGGAUAUUUGCUAAAGAUUCAUCGCUGAUAGAUAGGCAUGCGUUCCAUUAGGCAGUUGGCGGGGUAACGGCCCACCAAACCGACGAUGGAUAGGGGUUCUGAGAGGAAGGUCCCCCACAUUGGUACUGAGACACGGACCAAACUCCUACGGGAGGCAGCAGUGAGGAAUAUUGGUCAAUGGGCGUAAGCCUGAACCAGCCAAGUCGCGUGAGGGAUGAAGGUUCUAUGGAUCGUAAACCUCUUUUAUAAGGGAAUAAAGUGCGGGACGUGUCCCGUUUUGUAUGUACCUUAUGAAUAAGGAUCGGCUAACUCCGUGCCAGCAGCCGCGGUAAUACGGAGGAUCCGAGCGUUAUCCGGAUUUAUUGGGUUUAAAGGGUGCGUAGGCGGCCUUUUAAGUCAGCGGUGAAAGUCUGUGGCUCAACCAUAGAAUUGCCGUUGAAACUGGGGGGCUUGAGUAUGUUUGAGGCAGGCGGAAUGCGUGGUGUAGCGGUGAAAUGCUUAGAUAUCACGCAGAACCCCGAUUGCGAAGGCAGCCUGCCAAGCCAUGACUGACGCUGAUGCACGAAAGCGUGGGGAUCAAACAGGAUUAGAUACCCUGGUAGUCCACGCAGUAAACGAUGAUCACUAGCUGUUUGCGAUACAGUGUAAGCGGCACAGCGAAAGCGUUAAGUGAUCCACCU